GACGAACGCUGGCGGCGUACCUAAUACAUGCAAGUCGAGCGGACUUUCAAGAAGCUUGCUUUUUGAAAGUUAGCGGCGGACGGGUGAGUAACACGUGGGCAACCUGCCUGUAAGACGGGGAUAACUCCGGGAAACCGGGGCUAAUACCGGAUAAUAUCUUUCUUCGCAUGAAGGAAGGUUGAAAGGCGGCGCAAGCUGCCGCUUGCAGAUGGGCCCGCGGCGCAUUAGCUAGUUGGUGGGGUAACGGCUCACCAAGGCGACGAUGCGUAGCCGACCUGAGAGGGUGAUCGGCCACACUGGAACUGAGACACGGCCCAGACUACUACGGGAGGCAGCAGUAGGGAAUCUUCCGCAAUGGACGAAAGUCUGACGGAGUAACGCCGCGUGAGCGAAGAAGGUCUUCGGAUCGUAAAGCUCUGUUGUCAGGGAAGAACAAGUACCGUUCGAAUAGGGCGGUACCUUGACGGUACCUGACCAGAAAGCCACGGCUAACUACGUGCCAGCCGCCGCCGUAA
rnacentral:rRNA from 1 species